AGGUUCUUGCUAAGUCUGUAUUUCUGUAACAUCCGAAAAAUAAUGUUUACUCCCACAGUUACAGAUAUCAUCUUUACCAGGAGGAUUUCAGAUUCUCAAGUACCUGGAGAUGACUUUUCAGAUGGUACAAGAGACUGCAUGCUAUUUGGAAUGGAAGGUGGGCUGUCUAGCUAUCAGCAUAUAAAGAAGUCAUCGGUAGAAGAAUCCAAAGCAUCAUCCUGUAACAUUCAUCUUUUGCAAAGCAGCAUCACUUGUGGGGGCAUAUUCAGCUGCAAAGAUCGGUCUGGAUAGCAGUUCUAGAAUUGAAAUAUGUGGUUAAAGCAAAUCAAAUUGAGGUGAUGAGGUGAACAUCUUUGAUAUUCUUUCAUUGGGAGCAUCGCUGGAGCAUAUGGCAUUUCUAGUCCUGGUGCCUUUUCCAUGUUAUUACUUGCUGAAAACAUGCUACAUCGUACGUGUAUGGUUGUCCUUCUGCUCUUAACUUUCCAAACUCGUUACAAAUAUGGCCAUUGAAAACUUCCUUUUUGUUUCCUGUACUAUUAUCACUCACAUAUUAGUAUUGUUUUUGAAACGGAGCUUAGCUAGAGGGUUUUCAGUCAAUGUCCCUCUUUUUGGUUCCACAGGUAUCUGAUCUCUCUCUUUGGAAGGCUUUUGCUUUGGGCCCGGAAAAGAGAGCCCGGGUGACUAUCUAGCACUGCCUAAGAGCAACUCCAGCAAAGGCAUUAUUGAAAAUUUGGAGGCGCUACUUCCCUUCCACCUUGCUUUCUCCCUCCUUGGGAAUGUGUAAAUUCUUAUCGAAACAUCUAAUAUUUGGGUGGUGCUAAAAUUUCCGUUUCGGAACGGUCAAUAUUUUGCUUUAUAUACCUUUCUUAGCUGUGCCUAGUACAAUGUAUGGUUUGCCGGGUGAUACGACCGCCUUCGAUGCCAAUUGUUGUCUUGUAAACGCUUGUUGGUCAACGUUUCGGUUGGUUUGGUCAAAUUCUGGCUAUAAAGGCGAAAAUAAGCUAUACUAUG